UACGGAGGGGGCUAGCGUUGUUCGGAAUUACUGGGCGUAAAGCGCACGUAGGCGGCUUUGUAAGUUAGAGGUGAAAGCCCGGGGCUCAACUCCGGAAUUGCCUUUAAGACUGCAUCGCUUGAAUCCAGGAGAGGUGAGUGGAAUUCCGAGUGUAGAGGUGAAAUUCGUAGAUAUUCGGAAGAACACCAGUGGCGAAGGCGGCUCACUGGAGCUGGUAUUGACGCUGAGGUGCGAAAGCGUGGGGAGCAAACAGG
rnacentral:rRNA from 1 species